rnacentral:lncRNA from 1 species
GUGUGAAGAUGAAUUGCAUUCAUGUGCCAUAGCUGCCACAUUCAGAGGUGCUCCUUGGCCAAAUAGGAGUUCAUUGCUUCUUGGCAUGUAUGGGAACAUCCGUGAGAACUGGGUACAUUUUUCCUGAUGGAAGGGGGCCUAAUUCAUACUUCGCCAAACCUAAACUAAUGCCAUCUUUCUGCUACUCUGCAACUGCCUCCUCGUCUUCUUCUUUUUGGUUGUACAUGCAGCAUGCAGAAAUUCCUGGGCUAGGAAUCUAACCCAUGCCACAUACGACACCAGAUCUUUAACCAGCGGAACCAUCAGGGAACUCCUCCAACUGCUUCUUUACUUUGGUUUCUUCAUUCUUUUGUUUUUUCCCCUGGGUAGGUUUCAGUGGUUCUAACCACCCACCCUAGCUCCUGUGCCCUCCUACCCUCAGCCCUGGUCCACCAACCUGGGGUGAACUCCAAACCAAAGUGGCCUUCAAAAUGCAGACCUGUUGACCUUCCGAUUCCAACCUGGGGCCAUUGAGGAGCCAGGCUUCAAAGCCUUGGAGGGUCUGGGCUCUGUGACUGAAGCUUACCAUUCUAUUAAUAUCUCAGAAGUGUUAGUACUGAUAGCAUACUCUUUAGAAUAAUUUUCAGUUCAUAAUUUUUCAGGACAGUGGAAGAUAACUCAGGAUUAACCAUUUCAGCUGCUAAAUAUUGUUUAUCUAUAUAAAUAUUUUCUAUCACUGGUUUGUCUGUAGUCUUUGGGUUCUCUAAAGGUGUUAGAUAAACAGUGAUAAUGGAACACACUCUAAAAUCUGUAGCACUGCUACUCCCAGGGCCCAAUCCUCAACCCAGAUCUGACCCUCGAAAUCCCUCUUUCUUCUCACCCACACACCAGACUCCCAGUAGCUGCUUUGUUUGGGGGAAGAUUUUCUUAAAACUGCAGGUUGAGCUGCCAGUUCCUGACACACAGGCAGACAGCAGGCUGUGCACAAUCCUUCCUGGGCAAUUCACUUAGAGCAAAGAGGGAUCUUUUUCGAGGCUUGAGCAUAUCAAUAUGCGGCUGCUUUGCUAACAUGCUUUCUGUCUCUCACAGUCAGAGAAAUCUGCUUGCCUUGAGCUAGCCUCCAGUUUCUUGUUAAGAGCUAAUUUGAGAGCUAAUUUGGGUUCCAUUAGUAUAUGGUUCUGUUGCAAAUCUGACAUUAACACUGGCGGCUUGAUGAGUAACAAAGGGAGGAAAAGCCUUUUACCCUAACGGCAGCGAUGUGGGCACAUAUGGUGUCAUUUUUCAAGGAACAGAUUUUUGUCUUUCUUGCCAUUUCAGAGCUGUUUCCCUCUGAAAUUACCAGCUCUAAUUUAAUGCAGAACAUGUCUGGAUGUCACUGCAGAGAACUAGUUAAACUGAGAGAGCUGGCAGGUCCCACAAAUUUGCAAAAAACAGUGUUCAUUUGCGCAGCAUAAUGCCUCCCAAGUCCGUGGUCGUUGACUGCGAAUCAGCCACCAGCAAGUGUGGGCUCUGCCCUUAGAAGGAGAGCCAUUAAAUGAUUCUGCGUCUGAGGUUGGAAUUCUGCUUCCACAAACCCUUGUGAGGGAAAUUUAGGGUGUUUCCCGUUUCACCCCAUGGCCCCGCUGUCCACGCGCUGGGUCCCAUGUGGCAUUAACUGAAAAAAUCCAUGAGUCCAACUGUGUUAACGGUAGGAAGACAUGAGGCCUGCUAGCUAAUCUGAACUCUGCCCAUAGCGGCUGGAUGACCCUCCUCCCUGAGGCUCAGUGCCUCACAUGUAAAAUGAAGGAUUCUGGGAGUUCCCAUUGUGGCUCGGCAGUUCACAAACCUGACUAGUAUCCAUGAGGAUGUGGGUUUGAUCCCUGGCCUCGCUCAGUGGGUUAAGGAUCCGGUGUUGCCAUGAGCUCUGGUGUACGUUGCAGACAUGGAUCUGGCAUGGCUGUGGCUCUGGCAUAAGCCAGCAGCUGUAGCUCCGAUUUGACCCCUAGCCUGGGAACCUCCUUAUGCCAUGGGUGCAGCCCUAAUAAGUAAAUAAAUAAAUAAGUAAAUGAGGGAUUCUGAGAUUCUCUGAUAUCUAAGCUUAGUAGCCUGUAAUAGUAACUUGCAUUUAUCUAACUUUUUACAUUUUUCUGAGAACUUUCAUGUUUGUCACAUCCUGUGAUCAGCACAACAUCCUGUGAGGCAAACAUUCCUGUCUUGCACUUGGGAAAUUCUGACUCAGAGAGGUGAGGAAACUUCCCCAAGGUCACACAGCUGGUAAGCAAGAGAGCUGGGAUCCCAACCCAGUUGGCCUCACUCCCAGUUCAAGGCUCUUAGGAGUCAACAGACUGAAUCAGAAAAUAAGCUUUAAAUGCCACAUCUAGUCACCAAGGGCCAUCUUAGAGAGCACAGAGCCAGGCUAGCAGGCCUACAUUGUUCAAACUUUUCCAAGGUGGAAAGACAGCACAACAACUUGAGGAAUUAUACUCUUGCUCUGCGACAUGUAGUAUUAUGAAUGAGCACCCCCAGAAGGAGCUGAAACAUAGUAGGAAAAGUACUAGAAUUAGUUCCAGUCUUGGCUCUGCCUCAAGUUUCUGUGUGACUUAAAGAAGCACCUUGACCUCUCUGAACCUCAGUUCCUAAAUGGGGCAGAUAGAUAAGAUGCUCUCCAAAGUAACUUCCCUUUGGAGAGGUCUAUGGUUCUACAGCAGCAGUUUCAAUGCUGAAACCAAAGCACACAGCAACAGGUAUAACAUCUUUGGCCAGGGAAAUUAUGCCUAUCCUUCAUGCCUAAACAUUCAAACUCUAUAAAAACAAAAUGCUCUAGGAAGUAAAAAAAAAAAAAGCUGAUAUAAGGAGUGAACAAAGCAGGUUACUUUUGUUAGUGACUAGACAAAUGCAAAGACCAAGGUCACAAACUCCUACAGGAGCCAGCCAAGUUAAUAACAAGAGAAGGGCAACAACAGUAUAGGGCAAUAGGGAGUGGCAGGGAGUGCGAUAAACUGGCAAGCACUGCCUGGCUAAAGGGGACAGUGACCACUCAAUUCCAACCAAGUUUUGCCAGGCAGGAAUGUAGAUGCCGUGGAAACACUUCCAGCUUUUCAAGAGAAUUGGAGAUCUGAAUAUUCAUGUGCAAUAUCCUAAUUUUUAAACACUGGAAACAAAUCCAAAGACUUAAAACCCUUUCAUGCCAAACAAAAUGUGUCUGCUAGCCAUAUGCUGCCCGAGAGCCCCAGUCUGCUAAUCCUGUGCGAACAUCUGAGUUAGUCUGUGUCUCUCUUUGCCUUAAAUCAUUCCAGAGAGCCUGUUUCCUGACCUUAUUUGGGAGCACGCUGCAGUAGUGACCUGCCUGUACCAUUUCAAGUCAACAGUACUUUUCAUCACACAAAUCCCAUUUUCCCGUCCACAGCCUUUGAGGCUGGACCCCUGACAGAGGCCAGCAUACACUCCUGGUUCCCACUCUGUCUGCCUGAAAAUAACCUUCUCCAGAGAGACAAAUAACAGUGGGAGGGGAAGAGAGUGACUUGGCUGUGCUGGUAGGGUAAAACAGACAAGGUUAUUUUUUUCCCUGCCAUCAUUUCUACUUUAUUGGAUCACAUAACCAUUUUUAUUGUUCAUUUAGGUACAAAUUAAUUGCUGUACAAAUGAAAGAAAACACAGAUGAAUGCUCCCACCAUUACUUGAAACUUAAAUGGCAAUUACUCGGCUUCGUAAUCCAAUAUAGUGAAUAUUAGUGCAGCCGUGGUACAUCCUGUGGCCCAGCGCACUGCUAAUGAGGGAAGUGGAUGUCCCUAGAGGUUCCGUGACAGCCUGAGCAAACCUGGGAGGCAGGUGUUGCUGACCAGACCCUCCACGUCUGCCUGGCUCCUCUUUCCAAGUAUGAUUGAGUAAAAGUAUUAGAGGAUUUGACAGUGUUUUCAAGUCUCUUUUUUUUUUUCUUCUGAAGGAUCACUUAUCACACCUGUGGUUCUGUAUGUCUAUUCCUCUUCAGAGCCACGGGUGAAAUCCUAGUCCUGGAAAGCAUGUUGAAGAGUCUCCUGUCCAGGCAACAUCUACAGGUCCCCACUUGGGGAUAAGGGCCUUCCUAUGUAGUCCAUAAUCCCAGGGCUGGCCCCGUUAGGGUCCUGAUCAACCUGGGCUGACACUGUCCAGUUAUUUGGCUGAUUCUUCCCCAUAUGGACCACAGAUAUCUUGAAAACAGGAAUAGCAUCCUACCUGCCUUCAUGCUCUGUUUGGGGCAUGGCACCUGGGACUGGUAUGGGCAGUGAUGCUUAGAAAUG